rnacentral:lncRNA from 1 species
AGUGCACUAGAGCAGAACUCCCAGAACUAGCAGUUACUGUAUACCAAAAUUGCAUUUUUUUUCAUUCUGGCACUUAAUAGGCAAUGCUUUUCCACACACACACACAAAAAAAGUAACAGCAUUUUUGUAGACAAGUGCUGUAAAAUGAAAGUGCUCAAACAGAGAGGGAGAAAGAGAAAUGCAAACCAAUUUUUUCUUUCAAAGCAAUUCUUUCUUUCCUUGGGGAACAAGGCUGCUCUAACAGGUGGAACAUUAUUAGAAUCUGUAGAAAGAUGAGAUGGUCACAUAUUUGUUCUGGAAUAUGGUGUGGGAUAACCAGAAAAAUGGAAUUGGUCAAAUUCAUCCAUUGUUUUUGACCUCAGGAAUGAAGGGCCUUAGAGUCGGAGCAUACAGGACUGCGUAAGCCUGACCUUCCAGAGCCAUCCACGGAAUAGAGGCAAGAGCUAUGUAAGCAGGUUAUGGAAAUAUGUGAUUAACCCUUGCCAAGGUGGCCCGUCAAAUGAAUGCUUGCUGGAUUUCUUCUUAAUAACUGGUAGGUCUGAUCCACUUAAAUAUUUAUUCUCUCUCCACUCAAUAAAGACCUAGAAAAGCAUUGUAGCAGUUUUUUUCUUUCAAGACUGUGGCCAUAUAAUAGCAGGCAAACAUUAUCCCUGAAAAAUAUUAGCUCCUCCAAGAGCCAGAACUGUAUUUCCAGGUUUAAAAAGGCUUGACACACAACUUGACCCGAAGAAGGCAUUCUUCAGGCGAGCCACAUACCUAUGGCCAGUUAUCCCUCUUUGUUAUAAAAAAGAUAGACACCAAUCCCUUCAGAUGUAGCUAGGAAUAGAGAGGACUUUUUGUCUUUUUUUUCCCAGUGAUCUCACAUGACACUAGCUUGUUCUGCUUGCGACCAUCAGCAGAGUAGAAAAAAUAUCUAGGCUUAAAGAAUUCCAAGGCUCCAGGUAGUAGUCAGUGAUUAGCUAGAAGUACAUUUGACAAAAGGUGGAGAAAAACUAUUGAGAAAUGUGUCUGCCUCGUAAGAGGGAAUGUUGGAUGCUGUCCUUGGGUCCUGCU